rnacentral:rRNA from 1 species
UGGCNCCNNACGAACGCUGGCGGCGUGCUUAACACAUGCAAGUCGAACGGUGAAGGUGGGAGCUUGCUUCUGCUGGAUCAGUGGCGAACGGGUGAGUAACACGUGAGUAACCUGCCCUUGACUCUGGGAUAAGCGUUGGAAACNACGUCUAAUACCGGAUACGAGCUUCAGCCGCAUGGCUAGGAGUUGGAAAGAUUUUUCGGUCAAGGAUGGGCUCGCGGCCUAUCAGCUUGUUGGUGAGGUAAUGGCUCACCAAGGCGACAACGGGUACCCGGCCUGAAAANGGUGACCGGGCCCCCUGGGACUGAAACACGGCCCAA